GGGCGUAAAGAGCUCGUAGGUCGUUUGACACGUCGGAUGUGAAAAUCUGAGGCUCAACCUCAGACCUGCAGUCGAUACGGGCAAACUAGAGUGUGGUAGGGGAAACUGGAAUUCCUGGUGUAGCGGUGGAAUGCGCAGAUAUCAGGAGGAACACCAAAGGCGAAGGCAGGUCUCUGGGCCAUAACUGACACUGAGGAGCGAAAGCGCGGGGAGCGAACAGGAUUAGAUACCCUGGUAGUCCGCGCCGUAAACGAUGGGCACUAGCUGUGAGAGCCUUCCACGGUUCUCGCGACGCAGCAAACGCAUUAAGUGCCCCGCCUGGGGAGUACGAUCGCAAGAUUAAAACUCAAAGGAAUUGACGGGGCCCCGCACAAGCAGCGGAGCAUGCGGCUUAAUUCGACGCAACGCGAAGAACCUUACCAAGGCUUGACAUAUAGCGAAAAGUGGCAGAGAUGUCAUGUCCGCAAGGGCGCUAUACAGGUGGUGCAUGGUUGUCGUCAGCUCGUGUCGUGAGAUGUUGGGUUAAGUCCCGCAACGAGCGCAACCCUCGUUCUGUGUUACCAGCAUUAAGUUGGGGACUCACAGGAGACUGCCGGGGUCAACUCGGAGGAAGGUAAU
rnacentral:rRNA from 1 species